rnacentral:rRNA from 1 species
UACGGAGGGUGCGAGCGUUGUCCGGAAUCACUGGGCGUAAAGGGCGCGUAGGUGGCGCGGGCAGUCAACGGUGAAAGUUCGGGGCUCAACCCUGAAUCGGCCGUCGAUACUCCCGUGCUUGAGCACUGUAGAGGCAGAUGGAAUUCCGGGUGUAGCGGUGGAAUGCGUAGAGAUCCGGAAGAACACCGGUGGCGAAGGCGGUCUGCUGGGCAGUAGCUGACACUGAGGCGCGAAAGCAUGGGGAGCGAACAGG